UACAGAGGGCCCAAGCGUUGUUCGGAUUUACUGGGCGUAAAGGGUGCGUAGGUGGUCGGGUAAGUCUCAUGUGAAAUCCCGCAGCUUAACUGCGGAACGGCAUGGGAUACUAUUCGGCUCGAGGAUUGGAGGGGGGACUGGAAUUCCCGGUGUAGCAGUGAAAUGCGUAGAUAUCGGGAGGAACACCAGUGGCGAAGGCGAGUCCCUGGACAAUUCCUGACGCUGAGGCACGAAAGCCAGGGGAGCAAACAGG
rnacentral:rRNA from 1 species